UCGCAAUAUCAAGUUGCUUUCCUGCAGCACCUACAUGGCCACAUUUGCACUAACUUUGUUCACUGCUUGGUUUGACUGAGCUGUUCAAGAAAAAGGAAAGAUGAAUGCGUUUAAAAUCUACGAGUUGCCUUAGUAAGAAAGUUCCUCCUUCUCGCUAUAGAAAUGAUCUUUAAGACAACCUAUCCGUUUCGGUUUUGAAGAAGACAGGAAUGAGUCAGUGGAACUUCUCUAUCUUUGUCAUUAAAGGCUAUGUAUCCCUUUCCUCUCAUUAAAGGCUAUCCCUUUCCUCAGUCUACCUUCAGAGGCCAGGCCCUAGGCUGAUAAGCCAAUCUAGCCUUAGGAUCAUGGCAUCUCCCCUCCAACAUUCUCACUUUUGACCUUAUAACUUGGCAUCGCAUCUCGUGUCAGUCACUAUAUAUAUAUUUAGAACCAUUGCCCACUUGACGACUUUACCCCACCGGGUUGUUUUGGCUAAUUUCAGGGCUAAUCCCCUGGGUAUCCUUUGAAACUAGGCCGGCUAUCAAUAGUUGGAUAUGAAGUGAAGAGCGAAGUCAUUAAGAAAGAAAAAAGGGUUUCUAAUAUUUCAGUGAAUAAGCCUGAAAGAAAUUGCACUUGUUGAGAUAAGUCAAGCUGUUCCUAACCAUAGUAUUUUAGAUCUCAGUCGGUCCACUCAAGCUUACCAGAUUGUUUGUAAGGUCUCGCGCAUCGUUGAUACUUGGAUGUUAGUGGUUCAAAGAUAAGAACUAUUCGAAAUUAAUUCAAAAGGAAUGAGUUUUUUUGAGUGACGUCUGUGACCUCGGGAAAGUCAUCUGCUACUCUGCUUCUCGACACGAAAGCAGGGCAAUGCUCCAUUUUUGAUAAUUCGUCCUACCCUUAGCUUUGCUACUUGACUCGGAACAACGGUUCGGAGUUCGCCAGAAUACGACGACAUGCUGAGUUCUCAACGACUAGCAUGAAUUGAAGGACGCUGAUUGCCGUUGUACCUAUUGAUAAAGGAUUGGACAACUCGACACGGACUACGCAACGAAAUAAACUCCCAGGCUUCCUACCAGCUACCUAUUUCUCACUCACAAGAGCUUCGACCUUGCUUAUACUUGAAUUUAUCUUGCCUUCAUUCCCAUAAGAGAAAAGCUUUCCUACCCUUAAGAUAAGAGCGGCAUCCCACCUGGAGUAAGGUGACUCGAGCAACCCUAACCCAACUCCAAGCCGUAGUGUUCAAUCCCAACCAGAUUACUUCGAUUCGCUUCCGAUGCUCCGUCUCAGGCCGACCAGUAGAGCUUGACUCCUGCAUGAAACAAUGAAUCCAGGGUCAAACGAAGAUACUUGUUAGCCUAGCCCCAUGUGUAUCCGUAGCCUUCCCUGUUUUGAGAAUCUCAUAUUUCUUCGUAGCACGUGUGUCCUUCGUAUGUUCCGUCGCCUGUUCCUGGAUAAGUAGAUUUUCUACCAACCAAGUAGAAUCAGCCUGAGAAUCAGCAGCUGAGAAUGCGGGGCACCCUGCUUUUGUCCUCUGCCCGUCUCAUCGCCUUAUGAGCAGUCAAAAUAUACGUUUUGCUUACUGUCACGUGGUCCGCCUCCUCACUCAACUUCAGAAUCAAACCACCUUCCGGCUUCGUACUACUACUACCUCCUAGGUCAUCGUUCUUUCCAUUGCUUCAUUGUCCUCAGCUCAUCGAAUUCAGAACAUAGAGAAAAGAAUUGAAGUUAAGAUCUUCAAAAUCUUUCUUCAACCAAGUCGCGUGCAUCAUGGCUUUCUUGUUAUUCCUUUAUUUUCCUGCCUAUUACUGACAUGCCUAGCCUUAUCCGCUUGCUGGUGCUUUGCUAUCCGAACUACCAUUGCUAACUCUGAAGAAAGGUCUGCCUCGUGCUUCUUCACUUAUUCAAUGCUUUCUCUGGCAUCCUACAACUCCCUUACAUCCCUAUGUCGGCUAUCCACCCUUCUUUACCAAGUGACCGGAAUCCCCUAUCCCUAGCUAUCCAGAUGCCUCCUCUCUUAAACCAAGGCAUACUCUACUGGCUUUCCCGUGAUGAAAGGAGAAGAUUGUUGGAUUGAUCCCUCGAUUUGGACACUCUCUUGUUUACUAGCGAAUCCGGUAAAUACUUUCUAAAAUACAGGAAAGGUAUGUCAUCACAAAACACAGGUUCAACUCGGAGACCCGUCCCGUAACCCUACUCCAGUCUCGCACAUCCCAUCCAGGCAAAGCAGUCUUCCCAAACUAACUAAUUGUUGAAUUAAUACUUGCUAUACUAAUAGCUCUUCAAUCUGUUUAUUGCUGCUUCAUUGUCCUUUCCCUUUGCUCGUUAGUCGCAGGAAUCCCUCUUGCGUUAGUCGUAGUCAUCUAUUCGUAGAAAUCGUAGGAAAGAUCGUGGGAACCUACACCGUACCUUUCGUAGUCAAUACGAUGAAACCAAAGCCUUAGCAGAGGAAGGAACCGAUCUGAUUCCCGGAACCGAGGCAACCGAAACAGGUAUUUCCACUACUGCCGUUACUGAACCGAGGACAAGGACAGCUGCCCCGCUGGGCGUAGAUUUCAUCCCGUUAGUGUGCAUUGUUGAACCCAAAGACAAGUAGGGAUUUUGAUAUUGAUAGCUAAGGGGAGGUGGGGAUACCUCUAUUGAAUCUAUUGAAUUUGUUUCAUUCCGAGGUGCCGAAGCCGUUGAUUCGAAACCUAGGAUAUUCCCUUUGAUUUUGUUAGAGGAGCCUUUAUCCGGAUAGGAAGGUAUGGUUGCUGGUAUUAAUCUAGCUAGUAGGAAGGAAGCCGUUAAAUCCGAUACUACCAUUGAAUGUAUAUACGAAUCCCUUUUCGUAGCAAGGAAAAAGCCGAAACCUCGGAGCCUAAUCCUGUAGAGGAACUACUUGAUAUACUACAUAUCAUGUGCUUUCCUAAUGGUGGAAUUGCCAAAGCUUUGGCCGGGUGGAUCAUUUCAGUACGAAUACGGGGUAUAAAAGAUACCGGUUCUACUCCCUCCUAGCAUAAGGGAAGCACUUCCGAGACAGCCUGUCCUUCUAUUGAGCCUGAUGUGGGUUCCGAGCGUCAUGAUACGAUAGAUUUCAUUGCUUUAUACGCCGUAAAGGAGCUCGUAUUGGACCUAGGAAAAAGGGAGCUCUAGCGAUGUUCUCUAGCGCUCGUUAUCGUCAUAUCUCAUAUCAAAGCAAUUGAUUCGAAUUGAAUUGCACUUCUGCUCGUAACCACUACGAACCGGAAAGGAAGGAAGCUGCUUUAGAGGAGGGAAGCCAUAGAUUGCCGUACCGUAUCUACAACUAUAGAAUGUGCUUUGCCUUUGCCGCUAAAUCGUAUUGUUCGUAGGUCGUAUUUCUUACUUGGCGUACCCCCGGAGGAAAAGUAUUAUCGUAGUUUUCGUGGUCAUAUAGAUAUCUCCAUUUUCGUAACCAGCUUGCCUUCCAUCUCCACCCACGAAUCGAAUUAACCCGAUAAUCCGUAGUUGGCAACCCAGAUGGCUGGGCUAUCCAAACCAGAUCCGUAUCCGCUCAUGGCGAUCAGCCGCAUUCUCUUUCUCAAGUCAGUCGAUCCAACCCUGCAACCUUGUAAACAACUAUACCUUGACUUGUUGACCCAGUGAGUAACUACUAUCGUAGCGAACCUAAAGCAUUCACGCUUACCUUUGUAAACUUUGACUUGACUCCUUACCAGGUCGCUAAAAACCAUGCAAUGCAUGAAAAGCAAUUCCGCUUUCUUCUCCCAAUGCUAUCUUCUGCGAAUAACAAAACAAGGAUUUCAUGUGGGCUCUUUCCUUGCUAAGGAGAGUAGCUCAUGAGCGAGUGAGUAGCCGGGUAGGCAAUAUAAGUAUAGUUGCUUUAGAAGUUCCAGUGAUGGACUAAAAAACUCAACUCAAGAAGAAAUCUGCCCCAUUUGCCCGCAGAUCAUCUUAGUGAGCAGUCCCUUCUACUCUUAUUGGAGCUAAAGAAAGCAGUUUAUGUUUCAGAAAUCAUAGUGCUCGUUGCCAAUCCAUAACCAGAUCGCUUACUAAUCGCUUAACUCUUUGUUCAUAACAUUAUACGUGUAUCACUGGGAUCGAUCCGUUGUCAAAGAAUUUCCUAUGCCAAAGAGGGAUUCGAGAUUUCACCGCAGACUGGACCUACCUCCUGGGCCGGGCACUUAAAUUUUCCUUAUUCGAUUCAUAGGUCAAUCCGGAAUCAAGCGUAAAGGAAGUACAGUACACUUAUUUGGAUUCGUCGUGAAACAAAGCUAUUGUCUGGUUUCUGGUCCUGGGUGGAUUAUUUCUUAUCAUAUUGUGAGGCGGAUCAUAAGAUUGCAAAUUAGGCGGAUCAUAAGUAGAUGCUAUUUUACAAGGGUGGGCUUUAGCUGAGAAUCAAAAGUACGAUUCCCCAGAAACACAUUCCCUUUCAAGCUGAGCUGAGACGUAUCCGGCACCUUUACUUGGUCCAGUGCUGCCUCCGGCACUUCUUUCUCUUUCUUGUGCGAACAAACUAGAACCUGCCAGCCCAGCCCUAUCUUCCGAAUCAGAAUGGACUAGUGAUUUUGAUCUAUUGCCAGAGCCCUAUUCUUAUGAUGGAAAGAUCCGUGCUCACAUAGCUGUCAGAAAGUUUUACUUGCAUCUAUUUCAACUAGACGUGAGGUCUCUCCACGGCAACAACGAGGAGGAGGAGAUCCACAUUUAGAGGGCGAGGGGUUCGAAACUCGGGGAGGUCACAUAUGGUUGUGGAAGAAGAGCUUGUACGGGCUCCGAGGUCAAAGAAAUUCGACAAGUUCUUGGUCGAUCGAUACCUUUCCAUCCCGGGGCAGAUCUCCAGAUCCGAUACGAGUGUAGAUACUUUACUCCCUUCUUCCUCAGUGAGUAACGUAUAAUGUCUAGAACAAAGGAAGUGAGUCUAGCUCCACUCCGAGGGACAAGACGGAAAUCUUCUACCGAUGCCAACUGCAAGGCGUGCUUUCCUAUGAACCGAUUCUUAGACUACAGAUCUCAUCCCAACGAUCUACUUGUACGAAAGAAAGAGAGAUGAUCUACUUGCAGCUACUGUUUGUUACCGCUGAACAUCUGCUACCAAUACCAAGAAAUACCAAUACGGACUUCUUGUUCCAAUCGAAACGAGCAAACCUGGGGAAGAUAGCAAGAUUAGCAGAACGGGAACCCCCCAUGGGGAAGGGCUCUGAGACGCACCACAGAGCCCGUAGCAGCUACUUUUAAGGUUUAUCGCCCAUCGGCCCAGAAAUCCAUAGAAAGACGAUUGAGAUUAGUGAAUGGCAUCGAUCUGAAGUUCAUAGAAUCUCUAGCGUCUCUUUGUUCGUAACAAAUGAGUAACUUAACUACUAAUGUGACGAAUAGUGCCAGGCGUAGUGUAUCACUGGAAUUCGAUCAGUCUGUUGGAAAGGGAUCACUCUCUGAUUCUGCUUCAAGUCCUGUGCGUGCCUGUUUCGAAGAAUGCUAUUCGCUCUAGUGUCCUGUGCCUGUUUCGAAGAAUGCUAUUCGCUCUAGUGGAAAAAGUAGCGAUUUAUGGCCAUGAUCCCGACCCGAACCCUCAAAUGAUGACGAACGGCUGACUUCACGUAGAACCCGUUAUGCCAAUCUGGAUUCCACAUCUGCUACAAGAAAAUCGUCUUGAAAGAUUGCAAAUCAAGCAUUCGUCCUUAGCUCAAGGAUUGGAUUACCGCAGUUCCUGAAAGAUAUCGUGCCAACAGAAAGAUCUCGUUCCCGUAGAUUCCGUUCGUUCCAGCAAUCGUGCCGGAACUCACUGAUCCAUUCAAAGGAUUUCUUUACCACUGCUCCCGAUGGCCAAAGGACCGAUAUCUUCUUCUCACGCCUAGCAAAGAUCGAGUUCUGUUCUCACUUCACUUAAUGAGCCUAUUUCUCUGUUUUUAUACCCGUUUAGAUAGAUGGUAGAAAAGCCCCUAUUUGGGGCGUUAAGCCCGUUGGUUCCGAGAACCCAAAAGAGUAAAUCGACCAUGCCUUUAUCUUCACAUCGACCCUUCAUCAACAACUUGAUUCAAAAGCGCAGGAUAGCCCAGCUCAGGGAGAAGGCCCGUGACUUACGAGUAGUAAAGGUGGUAACAAAAGAAAGAGGCGUACCCAGCAAAUGUAAUAGCCCAAGGCGUUUGUUACUUUUCUUAUUGAAGCAGAGAGCCUUGGCCUAACAGACAGAGGCGGUAAAUAGGACAUGGCAGAUACAGAGCUUCCGCUCGGUCGCGAAUAACUUCUUUAUUAAAUGUAUAAGUAGGCACGGGGCCUAGGGUCAUAGCCCGGCUCACCGCAACAGAUUUUAUUUCGUCUGACCCGACUGUCACUCCUAUUUCUAGAAAACGUUAUCCAAGAUUAAAGGAUUGAUACGGGCGUGCUUCCUUGCAGAGGGUUGUUUUAGACACCUACCCACCAGAAACUUCGCUUUGCCACCCAGGUAUAACCAAAGCCUUCCACAAAGGAAUAUUUACUACUGGGUCCAUCACGUGUCCAGAUACCGGUGCAUCCCUUGCCGUUUCCCCAUCGGCUGAAGUUGGAUCAAAGUCCCCGGACGCGAAUGCUCAUUAUAGAAAGAACUAGGCCUACUUAGGUAAACAGGCACCCCAUCACUACCGUAGUAGUUGAAAUCUCUAACUUAGGUGCGUUUGCCCAUUACUUCUACCCAUCUACGCGAUUCUGAGAUCCAGCCAUUGGAACUGAGAGAUCCCCGCUGUUUGACCUACUCAAGUAGGCUUUCUAUUGAAUAUCCACCCGUGGUAAUUGCUUGACUGGUAGAAGCACCAAGCUUUGGUACUAUAGUCGUACUCGAGACCCUAUUGAGCUGCUUAGUCUUCUCCUUUCUUUCCCAUGGUUCGGGUGGGCACGGAUAUGGAUGGCAGGACAGGAGUUAAGAUCCCUCAGCUAAGGGCUAGACCGGACGUUUCACUGUCUGAUGACGAGUGGCACACAAAUCAACCUGAGAAGGAUUCUGCUAUGUAAAAAGUGUUUAUAUAAACGAAUUGUUUAACGCCAAGAUGCCAAUAGCAAUGAUGGAUAAAGCAACUCCCACGAGUAGGGCUCGAAAGCCGGGGACUCUCCUGGCAAAGAAUCUGAACGAUCUGAGUUCUUUUCUGAGAAAGAAGAAGAUGCAAGGCAUGGAUCCAAGCCUGAAGGCGACGUGGAGUGUUAUUAUUAUCGUUACUCCAGAGAAUGGGAGGCACUCUCUUCUUGCAAAAUGCAGUUAUGAAAUCUGUAAUCUAGAUGAUUCUGGUUGAAGGGGACGAUGCAGCCUAGCGGUUACGAACUUUUUGUUCGAUUCAAAGGAUUUCCACUUGAGUAAAGCUAUGGUGGGAAAUAAACUACCAAUUAGGCAAUGCGCGUCUCUAUUUCUUGAAUUCUCUGGUCUAGGCAACCCGAAAGCGUUGUUUAACAAAGACAAGUCUGAAUUUGAAACGCAAUCCGGCAGAGAAAAUAAACUUAAGUAACCACCAGUUGAAACUGAGCGAGGAUGCCUCUCCUAAUGGAAGUUACGGGCUCAAACAAUACCUAAUGGUAGGCAACUUUGCUACCCGAGCAUCUCUUUCUUAUUAAGAACGACAUAAAUGUUGAUUUUCUACUCUCGGGAGUAGGUAAGGGGGACUAUGCCCAAUAAAAUAGGGACUACGGUAGGCAUGAAAUGAAACUUCUUAUCUUAGGUACGGAAUUCCUCCACAUUAAGACACCAACCUGCCCUUGACAAGUCAAUAAUCAAUCACUAGAUUUAGGAUCACAAGCCGAUGCGAUGCUUCACGUCGAAAUGGGUUAGUCUGCAUCUGAGAGACCCCGCCUAGCUCUAAAAUGGUUUCAACCUUUCCUCGACCUCAUGGAAUGAACUAACUCAUAUGCAGUGAGCAUAUUAUCAUAGACAUCCCUCACGAUAGCGAACUUGAAGAAGAAGCUGUUUCGACAUCUACUUUAUCCCAAGUGCAAUAAUGCUCCAAGUACGGGUUUUCGAAUUCAUUCCUCGCUGACCGCGCGUCAUCUUCAGUUCACGAUUGAGGCUCAGAUGGAGACUGAUGAGAUACAGGCUCUGGCUAAGGUUGACAUCCAGGCUCUGGACAAGCGAUAAGAGAGACUUUCUGAAGGAUCCAGCUAAGAAAAUGAAAUGGGUUAGUGGGAACAAGCAGCUAAAGCGCAAAGGUAAGGAUGAGCUCGAAAAGUUCAAACUUGAAUGAUAGCUAGUGGUGGAUUGAGACUUUUGAGCUUCUCCAUCGAUCACUUUUGCGGAAGCUGAGUCCUUUCUUUUUAAGCAAGUUCAAAUCCAGCAAAAAACGAGUAUCAAUCUGUCCCAAGUGCGGACAGGAGAAGCCAGGUCGGAUUACGACAUUGAAUUGAAUUGAGUGGCCCCUUCCCUUCGCAUCACAGCAUCAACCCUGAUCACCUCACUUUACGUCAAUAUUGGUGAGCAUGCCACAAGAUGUACGAUUUGAUUGGUUACUCAAGUGUCUAAGUGUUAGUUUCAAGUAUUCUUCUUAUGAUAGACUGAAGGCUUAUCGGCGCGCGAAGGUUCUCUGGAUUGGUUGUGGUGAGCGCUGGGCGAAGGAUUGUCAGUGUAAAGCUACUGUUCAACUCCAUGUUGUUCAGGAAAUGGUGGAAUUAUCGCGGAGUACUGCUGCAGGCUAUUCUAUGUUACAGGACCAUGAUGACUCUGCUUCGGAUCUAAGGGUCCUCUCCGCUGAAGCUAAUCAGAAAUCUCCUGCACUCCGUUCCAUUCAGUUAGCUUGCUCAGUAGUCCAUAAUUUUGAUGUUACCCUCUUUUCUUGGUCGACUCGGGCAGCACUCAUUCCUUUUUGAAUGCAUCAUUGGCAUCUCAUAUUGAAGCUAAAAUUGUCAUCUCCUGAAUCUGUGCGUGCAGGCAGCAUCAAUUUAUCACCUAAUGGUAUCUUUGUUCUACCGGCACAUACAUUUCGAUUUCCUUGGUCAACGGAAGUCACCUUUUCUUUUUCCUUGUUUUCGUCAUGCGUCGAUUCAACAUUCGUUGGACUUUGUAGCUUCAAGGACGUAGUCAUCCUCUCAAGAUUCUAGUCAUGAUAUUGCUUAAAAAGAAGCCCGACUUACCUAUAUUAUCAAAGGACCCAGUCGAGCCCUAACUAGAAAAGUGCAUGGGUGACCAAAUUUAGGACAAAGUAGGCGCGGAAGAUCCACAUGCAACGAAACAUCCCUCACGAGUUCCAAACCUGACCUUCUUUAAGCUGCUUCGACUACGGGAACCACAAGGAAAACGGAACACGAGCGGGAAUGUGGGAGUGGGUCCUUCCAUAUAGUUGGCUUGAUGGCCCUUGUGGACAGAGUCUGUUCUCAUUAGAGAAUUGACCUUAGAACUUUGUGAUCAAGACCCGUGGUUAGUAAAGUAGAAACUUUCUCUCCGGAAAGGAGGUCCGCUUAUUUACUUAUCUGAAAAAGCAAAAGGUAGGUAGGCUGUUUCAGAGAAGAGUACGUGGGUUUUCACAUAGCCGGAUAUGAAAAGAGACCCUAAUGAGUAGCUUUUUUUUUAUUCGUAAACCCUUCUUUCUGUGCUUAUGGAAUCAGCCAGUGGCAGGUCUUGGCGAUUGAAUUCAUCCCGUUUUACUUUGUUGAGUGCGAUCUGGUAUUGACUUGCCCUUAUUUUCCAUCGAUCGGGUAGUUAGUUAGGUCCCGCGGACAAGAAGUCCUAUAUACUGAAAUAAGAGGGACUCCUUCCAGGCAUCGCCGUUAAGGUGCUCUUUUGAUAGAUUUCUAUACCUUCCCCUCCCUUUCCUCUGUAUCCGGGCCUACGCGAACAGCUGCUUGCUUAUCGAAGAAGUCUGCUCACAUGAUUGGAAUAUGGCUCCCGUAUGCAUGCUAUUCUGGGACUGAGGAAUGCCUUUCUAUGGUGGACCCUGAGGUCGGACUCUUGCUGCUUGAUUCAAAACCUGAUUCAAUAGCAGCAACAUAUUGAUGAUGGUGCCUGAACUACCUAUUCUAUUACCUUAUGGGGAGCCCCAAAGCCACAUCAAGCCCUAUGCUAUGGGUCAAGGUACUCUCGAGACCGUCUGGAUUGAAGACUAUCAAGCACCGUAGGUGGUACCAGCAUUCCCUGUCGAUAGGGCAUUCCAAUCUCUGGGUAGCUGCCCGCCCUACUUCAUUCCUAUCUCCUUCGGCGUCAGCCCCAUGUACCCCCUUAAACUAACCACUUGAAUUGAUCAGGAUUUGUUAGGUUGAGUGCAUUUUCUUCCAAAUCCAGUCAAUUUCAAGAAAAGUAUCGAAAAAUCCCGGGGUUAGGCACCUUUUUUCAGUGAAAUCUUGUUUUUUUCCCGCAUUAAUUAGUUAUGGGAGAAUCCUUGCUUCCUCAAUGCUCUUGCCUUCGCGGUCCUAUUAAAAGAGACACAAGAGGUUUUAGCACCGGCAUCUUUGGAUCAAAAGAUCAUUCCAUCCUAGAACCAACACGACGACUUCUCCUUGCCCGAUUUGAAAUGGUGAUGAAUAUGAAAUUAGGAAUAUAUAUGGACAGAUGAAUUAUGCGUCAUGGAAUCCGGAUCAUUAAAGAGGUAGUGUAGACAGUUGUCUAAGUGUGAUCUUCUUAUAUCCCCACGAACUGUUCAGCUUGAUAGACCCAAGGGGAAAUAGAAUCUCGAAAGGACCUUUCUUGUCCGUAGCCCCGUUGGAAUCGAGGGCUUGAUAUCUCAUUGGCAUGACUAAUUGAUGAGGCCGACUGCCUAAGUAGUACUCACGAGGUCCUUGAUUUCUUGUUAUACUUCGUCUCUACCUCUACCUUUAGCUGUUUGAUUGUCUGAUUUUUUUAUUCAUUUCCUUUCUGGUCGGUCAAUCGCACGCUAAUCGUCAACUCACACUUUCUUUCCUAAGAGGUCUACUUGAAUUUUCAUGCAAAUCAAUUCAAGAAUGGGAACAAGAAGAAUUCCGAGAACAAUCGCCAAGUUGCAUUCUUAAUAAAUGCAUAUAAAAAAGUAAAGAGUUGAUGUGAUGAUACCAUUCUCGAUCGAUAAGAUGGCGGAGCCCAUGAGGACAGCAAUAGAAUAGUGCCAUUCCAUCGUGUGAAGGCCGCAGUUCCGGUAAACCAAGUCGUUGUAAGACUGAGAUUGUCGCAUCGCAUCUCUCGCGUCAAUGAGUCUUUUAGAAAAUGACGAAAUAGCUCAGUUGGGAGACUCGCUCUUAUAUUUUAGGAAAAAAAGGCAUUCGUGCAAGAAGCACAAGCCAUUUUCUCGCUCUGUUCUUUUCACUCGAAAGUAGAUGGACCAGGUGGUCCACGUUCUUAUGAUCUCUCUCUUUCUUCUUUCGAUUGUGUGGGUGUAGAUAGGAAUAAGUAAAGGCUGUUUCUUGUUAGUCUGUAUCUUUCUCUUUAAUGGUAUCCAGAUUCACCUAUUUUUUUUCCGUUGUUGCUCUUCAGAAAACGCGUAUAGUGGCCUUCGUCGAUGGGACAAACGCUCCAGUGUAUGCGUUACGAGGCAACUAGCAUUUAGUUUUGUCAUGAAAGUUCGUGAAAGAAUGUUUCGUUGGAAAAACCAACGCCGACGUCAAGAUCAGUCUCCUUUCUCUUUUCGGGAGCAGAGCUGAAAAAGCUGGAGUUACCCUCAAAUGGAAAAUUUAGAAUUAACAGUACAAACAGUACAAAGCGUCUCUAACGUCCAUUCUUUUAUAAAAGAUUUUUUCCAUCAUACGUUGGAUCCGCAGCUUGUGAACCAGCUUUUGGAAGGGAUAGAGAGACCCAAGGACGGGGACUUCCUUUCCCAAAUAUAUGGCAUUUCACCCGAAAAUAGAGAGCUUGUGUUUUCUGAAAUCACAAAAAUGAUAGAAUUAUACUUACGGCAGGCACAAAUGGUUUUGCCAGCGGCCUAUAAUGUUAGAGAGUUUUGUGACCAGUUUUUCGGCCUGGAUUCUCCCCGGAGUCUCUGGGGUAGUUUCGUAGAUUUACAUUUAAAAGGGCACGAAAGCGUCACUUGGGACUCGGGCGUGGCUCAUCUUUAUCACGAAAUAUGUAAGGCCGAAGGCUUACUGCCGGAUAGCCCAGUCAGUGCUCCGAAUAGUCCUUUCAGUGAUCCGAAUAGUCCUUUUCUCGGGGAUACCUCCCCUCGAUCAGUUGUUGACGCCUUUCAGCAGCCUGCUCCGAAUCAGAAUUUAUUGGAGAACCCAUUGGAUCAAUUUACCAUUCAGCCAAUAAUUGAUCUGAAUGUGGGCAACUAUUAUUUAUCAUUUACAAAUCAGUCCUUGUAUAUGCUGCUCACUGUCGUUUUGGUCGUUUUUCUGUUUUUUGUUGUUACGAAAAAGGGAGGUGGAAAGUCAGUGCCAAAUGCAUGGCAAUCCUUGGUCGAGCUUAUUUAUGAUUUCGUGCUGAACCUGGUAAACGAACAAAUAGGUGGUCUUUCCGGAAAUGUGAAACAAAAGUUUUUCCCUCGCAUCUCGGUCACUUUUACUUUUUCGUUAUUUCGUAAUCCCCAGGGUAUGAUACCCUUUAGCUUCACAGUGACAAGUCAUUUUCUCAUUACUUUGGCUCUUUCAUUUUCCAUUUUUAUAGGCAUUACGAUCGUUGGAUUUCAAAGACAUGGGCUUCAUUUUUUUAGCUUCUUAUUACCUGCGGGAGUCCCACUGCCGUUAGCACCUUUCUUAGUACUCCUUGAGCUAAUCUCUUAUUGUUUUCGUGCAUUAAGCUUAGGAAUACGUUUAUUUGCUAAUAUGAUGGCCGGUCAUAGUUUAGUAAAGAUUUUAAGUGGGUUUGCUUGGACUAUGCUAUUUCUGAAUAAUAUUUUCUAUUUCAUAGGAGAUCUUGGUCCCUUAUUUAUAGUUCUAGCAUUAACCGGUCUGGAAUUAGGUGUAGCUAUAUCACAAGCUCAUGUUUCUACGAUCUCAAUUUGUAUUUACUUGAAUGAUGCUACAAAUCUCCAUCAAAAUGAGUCAUUUCAUAAUUGAAUAAAAACGAGGAGCCGAAGAUUCUAGGGGGCUACAGCUGCGCUUUUGCAGCACUGAACAUGGUUCCGGGUACUCAAGAUAUUGUGUUUGGAGAGGUGUAGAUAGAUAGGACGUAGUCUUGCUCGAUCAGGACCCACAAGCAAGGGCUUGCGCUUCCCGCGCGAAAGAAAGCAAAAUAUACGGAUUGAGAUAAUAACGGACUUGAAGCUUCUCAAUUGAUCCAAAGAUACUAUACUGGUUUAUUUGGUUAUCUGAACUUGGUUGACAGUACCCGGAUUCUCCUUUUCUGAUUGACUUGCGACAUUGGAAAGUCAAGAUGGUACCCGGCCUAUCGACAUUGGCGACAUUGGGAAGUCAAGAUAUUGGGUUUGUUUUACAAAGAAAGGUGAAAGCCGAAAGCCUUACGCAUUGCUUUAAGAAAGUGAAGAGAUGGGCGCCCUAUUCUCUGUGGUCUGUGACGUUCUGUCAGCUAUUGCCCGUGCUCAGUUCCAGAUUUCUUCCAUCAGUAGUCGGUAUCUUCCAUUUCAAAUGCUAGUGAACAUCACUUCUUCUAAUAUGCAAUUCCCGAAUGGGAACAGACUUGAAACCCUUCUUUUCCUAGCAUUUCAGCCCAGGCGGCUUCCCUCUAUAUUAAUAAGUUCUUUCGAGCAAUCACUGAUGUAGGUAGGGCUGGUGCGAGAAGAGAUUGUCUUAUGCCAGAAAAGAGGUGCUCCAUGUCGAAGGCAGAAAAGACGUGCUUAUCAAAUCGGUGGUCCAAGCUCUACCAACCCGGGACUCUAACAACACUGGUCUAUAGGGCUUAAGCUAGGGAAGGGGUAUAGAAUGGUACUUUCCAUUUCUCAGGAAUCCAUAGAGAGAAGAUCCUCCAGCUGCGGGUACAAGGCAGUUACACUUAUUUCAGCAAAAACUAUUAGGAAUGAUGCUGAUGGCAGAUGCUUGCACUAUUCACUUAAGGCUGGGUUGGCUUCUCAGUUAAGAAGAAGCAAACAGUUCGGCCUGAUUGAAAACUAGCGUUUCUUGUCCUUGCAUCUUGCGAAAAAACGGAGUAAAAAAGAACAUGAGCAUGAGUUGGGUCUGUGAUUCCUGUUCGAGAAGCGGUUCCAACAUCUGCCUUCAGGGUCUUGGUUAGCCGGAACUAGAAAUGCCGGGACUAUGGGGAAGGGUCCCUCGGGCGAGAUGGCUAAGCGUGUACGACGAAUUCUGUCUAUCUGAAGAUCUGAGAAAGGCGCUGAUUACAGCUCUGUCCUUGGAUGGACCAUAGGCCUGAUGCUAGGAGAGUGUAGUUCGAGCAUUCUAUUGUGUGCUCGAUCCGUGAUACGCAAAGCAAUCUCCUGUUUACUAUUGAUCUAAUGACAGUUGAUUGAGACUUGCCAUUGUCGUCUUUCGAAAGCGAACUCUUAUCUGGUUGCACUCGGGUUCUCCUGUCGACGGGAAGUGCUCGGUUCGGAUAACUUCUGUUUCCGUGCCGGGAUCAGCAGGAGGGGAAUUUGAGGUUCUUGGUCCUCUGCGAAAUCAGUCCGCCAGCUUGCUCUUUUCGUGCAUGACAGGUGCUCAUUCUUUCGAAUGGUGGUGUUGCCACUAACCUUUUUACCUGGGAAUCGGUGGAAUUCAAAUCCCUUCGGACCUUGCUCGACACAGUCCUUAGUAUGAUGCCGAUCUCUUAGUCUCUUAGGAUGGACCGCUUUCUUAACGAGAAAGAGAGCUUAGCCUUACCCCUUAACAAUUGUCUUUAUUGGUUGACUGACCCCUUACCACACAGCAAUCAAACUUCUGUGAUUACCGCGACACCUAUGUCGGCAUGCAUGCUUAGAGAAGUGGCUUUCUAAGAAACGGAAACUCUGACCUCGAAACUGCCAAUUGAGGAAGGGUUGGAAAAAGAUGAAUCGGACUUGGCAGAUUGAACUGCAGACUAUAAAGAAGGAGGAAGAAAGCCCAUAAUUAUCAUGUAUGACAAGGUUGUUCUUAUCAUGGUGAAACUGUUGGAAAAAGGUUACUGUGAUUUUCUAUCUAUUAGUUGACUACGGAGCUUCUUCGUCCCGACCUAUCUAUAUGUGAAAAGCACUCCGCCAGAAUCCUCGUAGUAGUAAGUCGUGGAUUACAAGCUGUCCCUUCCGAAAAGCUCGUUUGCAAUAGAUAUAGGGUUUACCAACCUCAGGCAUGGACAUAGACACCAGAUCAUUUUGAUAGAAAUGAGGUAGACUGGAAGCUGAAGCCAAUAGACCAAUGGAACUAAUCAAUCACUUGCUUUCCCGAACUGGACAGCAGGAUUUUAUCAGCACUGGACUUGAAUCGCGUCGAUGACUCUAAUCUUUAGAGACAGAAGCAGAUGGGAGAAGGUUGGAUAUGGAUCAUGAUCAAGUCUACCUCGUAAGCCACUUAAAGAUCUUUGAGCAGCUCGAGAGAUAAAUCCGUCUUCAUUGGUACAAAAUAACCUUCGCCCCCCUUUUUUGUUAUGGGAUGGUGGUUCCUGUCUAUCAACUAAGGUUAUAAAUUUCUUAUAUAAGAAUCUAGUAGAUCACGCACCUAUUGUAUUUAGUGUGAUCUUGUGGGAGAGUAAGGCAACGAGUGAGCUACGAUUGAGACUCCUUACGGAUGUUAGGUUUUUGAAUCACCGAUUCCAUCGAUCGAGAAAGUAAGCAGCAGGCACGAGUAGACCGACUGAUAGCAACGGCGAAUCAACGCCCGACCCGGCUCUUUUGUCCUUUUGUUCGCAGAAGGGAGAUCCUGUGCGCUAGCUAUAUCUGUUAUGGAUGGAGCCCUCACUCAACCGACCUGCUACCUGGAAAUCCCCAAUGCACCAAUGUACCAAAGGCACUGUACUUUGAAUAGGAAACACUUCCCUACUUCACUUCCUAAUUAAUAAAGUAGGAGGUAUUCGAGUACGGAGGUACUAGACCGUGAUUCUGGUCCUGAUGCGGACACACCUGUCGACAACAGAGAAGGGAUUCAAUUGAGAGCGGAUAGCAAGAUCGAAUGAAUGGAUACUCUGAGAUAGAACGAGAAAAAGAAAAUUUGAUUAAUCCUACAAAAGCCUUACAAGGCAGGUAAACUUUAUGCAGUAUCUGCUACAAAAAGAAGGUUAGAGAACUGGUUCCAUCUACUUUAUCCUUGGGCAUGAAGAACAUGCUUCUUUCUCAAUUUAUAGGAAUCGUUAACCGCAACUCUCCUUUUCAGGCUUGGAUUGGUUUUUUGAUGCAGUAGAGAAGCCGUUUCCUUUGAACUUGGUCCAUCGGACAGAUAUAGACAUGGAGAAGCUUUUCAAUGUCAAUCUUUCACUACUUUGUUUGGACCUUGCUUCUUCACUUAAUGCUUGCUUUCCGUCUUGCCUUUGCUGGGCCUACGAUAGGCUGUACUCCAAUACGAAAUAAGAUUGUACAUGAAGGUUGGUGAAAAGCAAAAGAAGCAAUUGGUUCUCAAAUGCCGUGACGUCACCUAGCUUUAUUCUAUAUUUCUCAUUCUAUUGGUAUGUAUAGUGUCUUUCAUCUGCUUUUUCAUUCAUUCUGCCCACAGCCGUUAGGUAUUAUGACAAAAGGAACCAGCAUGUUGCUCCUGAAUCUACAGAUAGAGAAGAGGGCACGUCUCUUUUUCUAGAAGCCGGUCUAUGUUCUUAUUCUUAAUCGAAUUCUAAAGAAACGUCAGUUUCAAAUCACUUCCAUUGGGCUGAGCGGGUCAUAUAUGCCUUUUGGCUUUCACCUAUGUUAUGUAUUCUCUCACAAUCACUCCUAGCAAUAAGUGAAAAGGCGGCUAUCGAUACUGUCCCAACACCUCCUCUUCUGUGUCUACUUCUCCAUUCUAAUUUCUGACUGGUUCACGCCUGCUUGUGUAUUGGUUAUAACCUCUGUACUGUAUUUUGUUUGGCUUAAAUUGCCAAAUGGCGAGACCAGACCCCAUGAAGCUUCUAAGUCUGAUGUUGAUUUGCAAGAAUCAGAUUUACCAACGGGAAGAACGCUUAGUGUAUCCGCGGUGGGUGAAUCUUAGGAAACUCGCCUUGUCCGAACAAAAGCGGGAGGUAGGUAGGUGGUAGUUAGAAGGAUUCCUUCGGGGAGCUGCUUCUUCCUCUGGAUUCCCUUCUUCUAUAGACAGACCCCCGACUAGGGCAGCAGCGUUUUAAAGAAAUACGAACAGUUUGGUUUUCAGUGAGCCCGCUUCUUAGUGAUAGGUUUCUAAAGUAUCUAUCGCUAUGUGCCCCUCCCCGGAAAAAAACAAAUAGGCUCGGGCAAUUAUCAGCUUAGGGACAGCAAGCGGAUAGUAGAUCUGGCUCCAUCCCUUGAAUCCGCUGUAACUGAUAGAAUCUUGUACGAGAGACCCGCAAAUAAAUAAGGAAACCCGCUUAAAACGCUUUUUAAGUAGAAGCUGAGCCAUUACCUGCUAGCAUAUCUCCCCACCAGGACUCCCCCCAAAGCAAAGCGAAACCCGUUCUUUAAUUCAAUACCUAGAGACGCUCCAGUCCAAGUUGAGGCGCAGUAGGAGGGAUUUCUGUCACCAUUAUUUAUGGACCACGUAAACAUACUUUUUUAGUUUAGAUUCUUAUGCUGGACCUGCAGCCCUAGCCUGGGACACCACUGUGCGACAUAAAGAUCGGAUCAAGUUAUGAUUUUCUCAUUAAGAAAGAGUACCCGAGAAGAAUAGAUAUGAUCCGGAAACACUCUUAUUCGACGAGGCGUAGAGCGUUUGACUUUCUUCUUUACAAUUUCCUUAAUGCGCAUGAAUGAGAGAUUACAGCACUUAGUAUGAGCAUAUCGGCCUAUGGAAGAAAGUUCGUAUCGUAUUAGUGCGCUUUAACUAAAAAGCCGUUAGCUACAACCUUUGAUCGUGGUUUGGUAUCCAAAUAGGAAAUUCUAUCCAGUCCCUCGCUACACUAUUUAGACGGAUUGAAGCUUAAGCCAGAUCGAACCUGUCUGAGUAUAUGCAUUGAUCCUAGAAUAGAUUCACAAGCUGAAGGGAGCCUCCUAAGAAGAAUAUGACUAAAUACUCGGGUCAAUCCCCCAUUGGGGAGGGUAUCACGUUUGGUGGAGUUCGCUAUCAGCCAAACUUGAGCUCUUUUGACAGUCCUAAGAAAAUCACUCACCCCGGCGGAUCCGGAAUUCCAUUAUCAGGGCAAUCUUCUUAUGCUCACCGCAGACGCACCUCUCCUAACUAUGGAGUUAGCAAAGGGGUAUCUCAAUCCAUCCUCUCUUUUUACGAGGAUCAUAGGAAUUGGGAUAACCUUGGGCUCUUCCCGCGCCCUUUCAGGGUUCUUGGUUAUCACUUGGCUAUUCGCUCCAUUCCUCUUCAAUCCAUCAGGAUUUGAGUGGCAGAAAAUAGUAGAUGACUGGGAUGACUUCUUUUCUUUCUUCGUCUGAAGUCAGUGUGCUUCUUUACCAGGCAUAACAUGAUAAUUCCUCUAUGGCGUGUGCUCCUUUCCUAUGUAAUGACUUUCCUCCUUUUUCAUGCCUCGUGCGCGUGCAUAAGCUACGAGUUCCCUGGCCCACCCUAGUUCAUCGAAUAGUGAGACUGUUCAUUUCUUUUUUUUUAAUGAGUUUACCGAAUUGACAACUCUUCUUUUUUUUACUUUAUAGAGAGAUAAUUUUUCAGCAUUUACAAUUCAUAUUACGCAAUAAAAUAAGAAGAGACAGCUACAUGAGUAGGCGAGCAUUCAUUUGAGCUGCCUUAGUUCUUCACAAGAAGCAAGCCCCUAAGAUAAUAAGUUGUAGUGGGUGUCCUCUUUCCAGAUGCGAAAGGCUUCUUUCUCUCUACUCUUUAUAGUGGAGAUGCUAAAAACAAAUGAUUGAAACCUGCUUGCCCUUCUGAUUUAUUCCUUGCUGGCACUACGCUGACCGAGGGAGGGUUCUGAUGAAUAUUGGUCAUCACGCGUGGACUUCUCUUCAGGCCUCGUUUUCCGCGACUUCCUUAGCCUGACCAGAAACGCAAGACCUGUGAUACGAAAGACAGGCCAUUCUCCAGACUAGAGAUCCGAGUUUCGAUACCGAGUAGAAAGACUGCAAAGAAAGAGUUAUCACUUCCCGCUACCAAUCUUAUUCCCACUUCUGCUUAUUGCUUAUUGUCGAGUAAACACUUCUGUUUACCAAAUCUAACUUUCCGAUGGCAACUGCUUGCUUCCAACAAUACCCGAGCUUCCUUCUCCUAACCCGGAUUCCGAUACCAAUCGUAUCAAUCUGGAAGUCAGUAUUCUAUCUUUCAGGCAGGCGCGGAGUUCAUCCCACUAUACUAGGUUCGCGAGCCCUGUCCGAUUGGACGAGAAAUCUUCUUUUUUCAUAGUUUCUUUCGAAACAGCCCGUUUUUCACCAUUCUUCCGGACUCUACAAAAUACAGAAUGGCACCUGAAGAAAGCCCGCGUUCCCACUCUUCCUUCCCCCUACCUACCCAUAAGGUAGGUAGGGGCCUCGGUUUCCUAUGAGAAACCUACACCAGUGAAUUUAUUUUUCGUAGGUGAUCCCGCUCCCAAUCGCAGAUUUGAAUAAUCAAGUCGGUAUGGGGCUGCUCCCUUUUGUUACUCCGAAAAUAUUGGCUUCGCCUGGACAUAUCUUCGAGGACCUGGGCGAUUUUGACCCGUUUCUCGGCGCUCGCCGUUUCAAGGUGAAGAUCCUCGUAAGUCGAGCGUAAUGUGCUCUCCUUAGGAACCCUAUUUCGACAGGACCUUAGAACUGUUUUAAUUCUGUUCCUUAAGAAAGAAAUGGAUGGUACUUCAGGUUGCGCCCCAUUUUUGGGCGGCUCUGACCGAAACCCAUCUUUGCCAUUGGCGUCUUGACGUCCCACUUUUUUUUUUCGUGGAUCAUCAUCUCCUUUGUUUGGCGGAGCGGAAGCACUCGACGAGGCCUCUACGACAGCAUGGGCUCUUCCCCGUUUCUGGCCGGAUGAUUCCAUAAAGAAAAUACUAAAAAAAGUAAAGCAUAACAAGAAGCAAAAGAUAUCGUGGUGUAAGUCAAUGAUUCCAUUCAUUUUCAUAAUAUUAUGCUUCCUUCCCCGUGUGGAACAUGUGUGAGCAUUAUGUUUUUCCAACAAGUGAUCCGACUGGAAGAAGUGUUAUAUGAGGACUUCGAGAUCAAAUAGAGAAUCUGUCUCUCCAUUCCUCGUGAGCCACUUAUUUCGGAAAAAUCAGAGAUCAGAGUGAUUUUCCUCCUUUUUCCCAAAUAGUCGACGGUCUUACACCAUUGGGAUACUUCGGAUAAACUGGAGUACAUAUAUGAGAGACCGGUGCUAAAACCUUUUCUCGAGAUAUCUUCCAGAUUCUUAGGGUCCUUGCUCCGGAUCUCGCCCCCCCGGCGCGAAAGCAGUUGGUUCCGUAGUUUGAGAAUUCUACUAAUUCCAAGUAUUCCAUUAUUAUUAUUAAAUAAGAGAAUAUAAAAAGUAAAGAGGAGAAGACAUAACCAAANNNNNNNNNNNNNNNNNNNAAAUAAGUCAAUUUAUCAAGUUGAGGCAUUUCGAUUUGGAUUUCAAAUAAUCAAGAAAAAAAAAAGACUCCGAACCGUACUUUUGCUAUUUUACGUCCCUCUAUACAAAAAGAGAUUUACUUUCCAAAAUGGAAUCUUUGCCAUUUCUGAUGUGAAUGAGGGAGGUUGUCUGCCCGGGUAGGGGUGACCGGAACCCUCCCAAGUCAUCGCUCAAGAAAGCACCACAGUCACACGAGAAAGAGUUUGGACUAUGACGAAGACGAGCAAGCCUUUGUCGGGGAGUGAUCGGGGAAGAGUCGAGUACAAGAGGAAGGUGGAAGGAAGAAAGCGCCAGAAGCGCCAGGUGCGAAGAUAGACCAUCAAAGAACUCCACAGCAGAGCAAAAAAGAGAAAGGCAAGGCUCGCAAAGAACAAAGGCUCAACCAUCAGAUCCAACACAAAGCCCUCAAGAUAUUUAGAGGCUUGGACUACUCUCUCUAGUAAAAGAAAGGAAGCACAAUGGGCGUUGCUCUAUUUCUUAUUAGUGAGGUAUUCUUCUUCAUUUCAGUAUUAUGGGCAUUCUUCCAUUCUAGUCUGGCACCAACAGUCAAACUAGGAGCUCAACGGCCACCUGUUACUACGAACUUGUUUUCAUCUGGCAGAUAAGCUUUUGAGAAGAGACCACUUUGAUAACGAGCUUUCGGGUUGCCGUAUUGAUACCGCCCUUCGGGGGAACAGGAGAAUAGCAUGCACGGGAGAAGGAUUUAGGGAAAGGUACCCACCUUUUAACGGGAGAAAGGCAGCUUAUGUGAAAACUUCCCUUGUGGUUUACAGUUCAAAUAGAUCAGGUGCCUAUGUUGUUGAUACACCGAAAGAUACUAACGCUAUGCUCCAAUGCGGGAUGAGGGCCAACGAUUGUGAUGAGUGGGGACCUUAGAGCUUAAAACCUACAUACAGUGACCCUUAUGGGCAGCGCCCUGGGCUGGCUAUGUACGAGACAUCAAACCGUCUCCCGGGUCCAAAGUUUCCAUUUCCAGGCCUGAUAGUCUUCAACUGAAAAAAGUAGGGCGGAGAACUAGUAAGAAUUGUGCCUGCCAUUCAAUUCGUGACGUGGAUGAUCCGCCGACGGAAUCGAUUAGGUGAAACGGCUCUGCAAAGUUUGUUUGUUCAUAAAGGCUGCAUGCAGCCAUGCAAUUCGUACUGCAUGGCGAUAUUACUCUACCACUCUAUAAAUGGUAUAUAGAUAUCUUCACUUCAUCACAAAGAAAUUGAGUACUAGCACGCAUUGCUAUGGAUGCUGCAACCGCAAACAGGCUUUCUGCAAUUGCUACCGAAACGGAGCAACUGAAAAAUGAGAUUGAAGGGCACCGUAGAGUGCUAAACAACCAGUUGAGAAGUGUUAGAACAAUGGAUCCUGCAAAGAAAGAAGCGCGCAUUCGCGCUACCAGAGAGCGCAUAGAGGGUUUGGAGGAGAGGCAGGAAGCGCUGCGGGUGGAGCAGCAAGUGCUCUUUAUUCGUCUAGCAUCUCGCUAGAAUAGAAGAGUCCGUAGACUCUUUUUAGUUUUCUAAGGUUGGUUUAAAUUCAAUAAGUGUCUGGAGACAUUUGUUUUCAUGUCAGGUGUUCUUUGUCUUAGUUUGAUUCCGAUCUACUCCUAUGCUAAGUGUCUUUGUUUGGUUUGAUUUCUUGUGUUUGCAUGUAUGGGCUAGCCGUCAGUGUUCAAUGCUUAUGUUAAUAUAAUAACGCCAAAAUGUGCUGCAAAUUCAUGUUCAAGUUGAAAUAAGGCCGAAGGGCUAAGUGUACUACUGGAGAUUAUAUAUUCCAGCUCUGAAGUUUCCUUUUGAGCCCCCGUUCUACUAUGGUUUGGAUUCUAGUUGAAGCGUGCGACCAUCUAUUCAGAUGAGGAGACCGAGUAAGAAACCACUAAGCGGAGAGCAAACAGAUCAAUCUCUAUCUAUGAGUUUCUCAACCAAGAUCCACUAUUCAACCAAGACCCGCUAACUAAUACUUUUACGCGAGCUUAGUUAUUGGAAGUAGCAGCCGAGGAACUCUUAUCCCUAGCCACAGUUGUUGCAGCACAAGGCUUUGUCGCGAUUGGGUCAUAUGUCAGUACUCUCACAUUCCCCGUGGUCUCCCUAGUAUGCUGAGCUGAACUGAAGUGAAGUGAAGCUGCGGGCGAUGAUGGACUGAUCCCAUGCUAUUCAGGCGCCUGACAACGCUGGCUCCGACGGUGAUGAGUCUGACGGUGGCUCAGAUGUUUCUCUUCCUGAUCCUUCAAGGUCCCCCGUUCCUGACAUCGUCCAAAGGCCGUUGGCGCUCUCCCAUCUGACAGUGCGGGCUCUGCGUGUCGCCUAUGGCAACACUACCCGAGUGGUCUAUUGCAUAGUGGAUCCGCGGGUACCCCGUCGCUGCUUCGUUUUUAUCAACAUCCGGUAAGCAGAACGGACAGAGAACUGUCCCGAUUUCUCGUAAUGCCAGGCCCAAAAGUCCUCCAUCCGCAUAGCAGCAAAAGUAGGCAUUUCUUUGAUACUUACUCACCUGUGGCUAGAUUUACCACCAUUCGAGUACUACUAUCACGGGCUGCCUCGCACGGUCUUCUCGUUCAUCAGAUGGGCAGACGGCUUUCCUUAAUGGGGAGUUGGAUGAGGAAAUUUACAUGGAGCAGCCAGAUCAAGAGUACCCGCGCAUUCGCCUAACCCCGGGUUUUUUCGAUCAAAAUGAAGAUUUUUGAGAAAAUAAGCCCAAAAAGCAUCUGACCUUGAAAAGAAUCACCAGUUACUUGAUCCAUCCCUGCGGUAAGUGGGAACGAAUGUGACAGCCGAUGGUAGUAGGAUUUCCACAGGUUGAGCUCCUUAUCUUUUGACUUUUCUAAGGAUAGCCGAGUAGAUAUACUAGAAUGGGAUGAAUCGAGCACGAGAAAUCACUAGGCACAGGGGAGCCGUAAGGAAGAGGAGUAAUAUCGUUAUAAAGUUCACGAAUUCGAUUCAUUUUGGAAUCGAUAAGUGAACACGGAAUCUCGUCUUGUUCCCCUUGGUUCCGAGUCGAUUUCGCUUGUCGAAAUCAUUCAAUCCAUAAGUUUUUGUUUUUUCGAUCGGAAUUUGGGUCAGCUGAACACUUAUUUUCUCUUUCAAAAGUGGUGAUGGUGCGGGUAAAUUCAAUCGAUAUCUUGUUUCCCCUUUCCGAGGCAAAUAUCGGGGAAAUCAGUGAUGAAUUGUUAGAAAGAGGGCUGAGCUAUAAAAUCUAUAAAAUGGAGCUUGAUCGGUAGCUUCGGCCUCCCAGACCCAAAUUAAGUUACCAACACGGAAUGACAUUUUCAACCUGACUUCCUGUUUGUCAUUGGAAAGAACGGAAGAGCAUUGUAUUCCUCCUAGGAAAUAAUACAACAGGUCAAAAUAAGAACGGAGAAGAUUCGUUGAUACGGAGCUGGUCCAUUUUACAAGCGAUCCCCUAUUCUGCAUCCCGAAGAUCAUACGGCCCAGAGCCAGAGCGAUCAUUACAGAUAUAUAGGGACAGCAAGAAUCAGUAAAUACCGGGGAUACCUUACUAAGCAUUUCCUAGAUCUUGAGUUAGGCGUAGCUACUUCCUCCCCCCAUGUUCUCCUGAUUCCCCAUCCUUCCGCUGAAGCUAAACCAGUAUCAGUUGAUGGCGAGCAUAGUAGAGGCGGCUUUAUCGUUAAAAAAGCAACCGGCUUUCGAGUAAUAAAUAACUUAUAGAAGCACUUGAGCGUGGUUUCGGCCUAUAGCCGGAGGGAAUGUUUUUAAAAAUCGACCCGAUUUUGGGCAUUCGUAGAGGGGAAAGACAGCCAUGCGAUAAGCGAGGGAGAGGUCUGUCUUCCCAAAGUAGCCAUUCAAGGAGACAAGUUCUACCAUUGUACCUUGACCUGUGGAACUGGAGAAGCUCCUUUAUUGCUAUAGUUCUUGUUGAACCUUUUCUAAAGUCAACAAUUUCUGCAAUCAGGGAGGAGGCAUCGCCUUACUUGCUAUACCUUAAACCUCAUCAAGAAAGUAAGCCCAGCGAAACCGCAAUCCCAAUCAAAUAAAAGAUCAGAUGGGCUGAUCCCUGAGAUCGAUCGCUGUUGAUUUUCUAGUUUUUUAGCUGACUCGGGACCUUCCAUAGAAAACCGAGUACGAGCAACGGUCGGGUCUGCUGCCCCUUCCUUCUCAGCGUACAGCUGCAGAUUGGAUAAAUGGUUUAUCUUCGAAUGUAUGCUACAAGAAAUGGGCUGAACCGAUCUACAGGGAAUGCAAUAGCGAAAAGAAUUCCACUCUAUCUCAGAUUUUUGUAUCCUUUUCAAGGGCCAACCCUGGGCCAAGGUGAGCGCAUCCGUAUGGGCCUAUUGCUCUUGACCUCUUCAGUUGUGCAGGCACAAAUAUGAACUGGUCUAAGUUUGUUCUUGACGAUCCCCACAAGCUUCUCUUAUCUACUUGAAUGCAAAUCAGAAAAGAGGAAGUCGCAAUGCAUUUUCUUUUUCUAAAGAAUAAAAGACACGUGGAUGGUAUCGAUCAAGAGACAUGGCUAAAGGAUGGAAGUGAAUUAGAAUCAGACGGUCGUCGAACGAAUUCCCAAUAAAUGGAAGAUCUACGUGCAACGAAUUUCGUAUAAAAAGUAAAGUAGGCGAUUUCACCGAGAGGCCUAUUGAACUAGCUCCCAUGCAUGGAUCUGCAUUGUGUGCUUUCGCCGGGGCGAGAGUGAAAAAGAAAUGUACCAAGAGUUCCGUAUGAAUUAGGUUUGCCUUUCCAAAGAAAUGAGAUAAGGAGCAGUAAGGCCUGGUGGCUCUGCCUCAGCCGUUGCCUUGCCUUGCAGAGCGUCAACACCGACACAUUGUAGAGCAACGUCUUGCAACUAUGUACAAAGCCUCCAUUCCCCUGGGUGUCGUGUUUGAAAGCACAGUCUUUGUCAUAAACCGAUUACCCUCCACUCCAAAUGGCUCUACCAAGGAUCCCACAAAGUUCCCGAAACCAAGUUUCUCAGAAAAGGCCUGGUAUCCAUCUACUCACAAUAAUUUGAAUGUAGAACUGAAGAAGCACAAUUUCCUUCUUCGAGAGGAAUCCAACCGAAGAGAAGCGAGCAUCAUAAUAGCUGGAUAAAAAGAUAUUUAGUAUAAGAGGACGUUCGCGUCAAUUAUCACGCCUCUGACUGCUGAGGACGAGGUUCGGGUUAAUGAUAUUGUGAAAGGUGUCAUUAAACCGGGUCUGCCUCUGUUAGUUACGAGGUAUAUGCCAUGGAUCUCAUCUAUUCCCCUUAAACAAGGGAUAACGUGGGUUCCGACCUGGAAUCUGGACCCCCAAUUAUAGUGUGUUUAAAGAGAUUGGAGGAACUCUUCCUCGGUCUCCGUAUCCAAAGAUACUGGUAAUUAGAGCUUCAAGUGUUCGGUUCUACUCUCCGUUUUAUUCAUAGUAAGGGAGAGCAGUUCAGUCCACUUGCUCUUUGGCCGCAUCGGUUGAGGUUUGCUCUGUUCAGUUCAGUUAAAGAAGAGAUGGUAUCUUGCUUGUUUCAAUUAUCCGGGCUCGCCAUCAAUAGAUACUGGUUUAUCUUCCGCUUUGAUGAGUUGACCAUCUUCAGAAGCUGACACUGGACUGCCAAGACCUCGCUUUCUUUCCGAUGAAAUGUGGGUCCGAGCCAAGGAGCAAAAGCAAAAGUAGGAUCAUCAGUUGACUCCUACGCAGUCUUAGUCUUAGGCUUCGGUUGAACCGAACAAGCAAUUUCUCCUUUUUUGCAUCGAUCACUCAGGUGCAGCUUAUCUCUUUCUCUAUCUAUUCCAGACGACUGUGUGAAGGCUAUAGCUAACAUACUAACUAAUGCUUCUAUCAAGCAGGAGGAGCAUCUCUCUCUGUCAAUAGAUUACCUUGCGCAAAGGCUUUCGAGUCAAAACUCUAUGAAAUAGAGAGAAAUCUAGCUUCUUUCCUACGGGGAUCUGGAUUGGAUACUGAUGAUAGGCCAAUUCGGUAGCUUUUGGGACGAGCACCACCUUGUGAAGACAGUAUCAAUCGGUUAUUUUUGUGAUAAGUCGCUAUUAGAAAAGAAAUAGUCAUUUCUUGCUCGAUUCGAGAGGUGAUUUCAUUCCACAGUGACAAUUCAUGUUGAACGCGUCCUCCGGCAUUUACGAUUCUUCCUACAGAGGGCACUACUGGCAAAGAAUAACCUUUCCACCCGGCGAGAUGGACUUGGAGACAGAGGUUUGCACUUGGUCCUCUUGGUUAGGAUGUAGAGGGGAUCUAUCAACAAUCCCGUCGUCUUCUUCCAGCUUUUUCCUCUUAAUUUGAUGGGCUUACUUAAAAAACUAAUCACUCUUUGAAGUAUGAAUGGCUCACUCUCCCAUUCUUUCCGGCUAGGGCAGCAGCUAGACCCAUAUCUUUUGAUGGCGAGCAUCGAUCGAGAUCCUUCGGUGAAAGCUAGAACCAACUCUGCGAGGAAAGCGGAAGCAAACAGUUAUGAUGUGGUUGAUAGAGGCCUUGGAUAACCUAAGUCAGCGUUACCCGACAUAGUCAACGGGGUACCUUCAUUCUUUAACAAUUCCGGACAUAGGAACAAUGAGCUGUCUCCACGGCUUCUCUUCCAAACCAAUAUCGCAAUGGAUCUAUCUGGCUUUCAGCUUAUUCUCUCAAUCAAUGAAUGCGGGUCAUCGUGGAGAAUCAGGGGAAGUGUAGACUAUAAGUAGCCAAUUUGCAAUUCAUUUCCUUGGCAAUGACGAGUGAUGGUAUCUCGAAGCCAUUCAUCUUAUCUCUGCAGCAGGAGAUUCUUCACCGGACAAAAGAUAAGGAAAAGACAAAGAAAUCCCAUGGGUAGUUUUUGGAAAAACCAAUUCUGACUUCUCUUCUGAUCUUCUUGGCUAUGCGGAGGAGUCAGUAGAAACUGAACUCUAUAACUCUUUUAUUUAAGCUGAGUCGACCAAUCCAUGUGGAACCAUAGGAAGCCGAAAGAAAGAUAGAAUGAAUAGAAUACAGCUCAACAUUUGAAGAAUGGAAUCUGUCCCUUAAACCUCCAAGAAAUCGAAUAAAUCUAACUAUAGUGGUUGGUGAUUCCUGGUCGAGUAAUAGUAUCUCGGAAAAUGGAGUUUCCACUGUUUGUAUGGUCUCGUGGUAGAUUACCUUCUCCAGGCGGGGAAAGGGCGCCGAAAUGAAUUAGAUAUCUUUCCACGGCUGUAACUACUAGUCAUUCUACCCCUUAGAACACCUAGUAAAACUACUAGUCCUGGUCGAUACACCUACUCGUUUCGUUGCAACUGUCCAAUAAGCUAGGGUCGGGCAUGUCCAAAGAAGAAUGUACCUGGGUCGGUAGCGAGGAAGUAAACUAGUGCUUUCCAACUGAGCUGGAUACAUCAUAGUCCUGGAUACAUACAUAUAGCAGGGGUUGCUCGCCUUGUUGAAACUAGUCCCCUUGCUGGCUCGGAAGCACCAGACCUAUUCGUUUCACUCGAGAAAGUCAUUUGCUUCACCGGUUCGAUAUGCGAUAUCAAAAUCCUUUCCUUCCACGGAUGCGACUAAAAAGAGAGUAGCUUCUCCUGCUCGCCUUGUUGAAACUAGUCAUUCUGUUUCUGCUGUGGCUGGUUUAUCGGCUGCUCCAACUGUCCAAUCUGUCCCAACAGAGUUAGGCAUUCCUUCUGAGCUAGCUAGGGAGUCAAUAGCAAGACCGGGUACAACAAGCCUAUUAGAGAAUGAAGUAGCUCGAGUUCGGGGUUAUCUCUCCUUUACGAAAUAGAGGUUCACUUCGACUUUACUACUUUCCAGCCAACGCACUCUACUCAAAUUGAAGGAAAUUGUUUGGCCCCUAUUCUAUUUAUUUAUUAAGGGAGGGUACUCAUAACGUUGAAUCACUGUUUUUCUUUCCUAAUGUUCAUCUCAAGCUGGCUUCGACAUCUGGUUAUCGUGGUUCUUUCUCCUCCUUUUCUAUCGCUUGCUUUCCAUAUUCCACUUUGACUUUAUUUAGUAUUGGCUUAAGGCUGUUGGUUCAACCGACUAUAAGAAGUUCCAGAAGGGGUCCCGGCUCGGGGGCGGGGGUAUCUUACCUCUUUUCCUCUGCGUUCGUGACAAGCUAGUAGGCACUCUUGUGUGGGUUGGCUCAUUCCCCCGGAAAACGAAUAUUAAGAAGAUAGAUACCAUUCCGUCGAUACUAGAUUCAUUCUUUCCGCGAGGGCCUCUGCUUCUCUCUGUUCGGUGGGAGAGUAUGGUAGUUGUCCUUCAGCAUCUCUCUCAGGCUCAAUGCCAUUGCUCGAUAUGAUGCGAAAGUCAAUUCUAUACCAACGGCAUCGUAUAACAAUAGCUCUUGUCUAGGGAAAUGCAAAAAGUAUGAGGCCAUAACAUCCGUACCAACACCGACGAACUGACCCGGUUAAAGAACAACCGCGUGCUCAAUUCUUAGUUCUGCUCUUUAGCCAAAAGGGUAACGGAAUAAUUGCGCUGUCUAUAGGUGGAGAUGAGCUGACUCAAACGAAUGGUCAUGCCAAUGACAAAAAGGACAUCCACACUGAAGCUUAUUACUCGAUUACUGUUAGACCCAUGUUGUAUGCCCUCAUUAGGAGCCCGCAAGCCACUCCUACCUCGCGGGUGAUGCAUUCCCUUCUCCAGGUACUAAAAGUGAUAAAUAGGCUCGAUUCUCAUAAGAAACAUGCCACUGAAACCAAAGGAAGUACAUAUAUCUUCUUAGACGGAAGGGAGGGACUAGGGCAAGAUAGCUUUAUCACAGACAGGGCUGCAUCGACCAAUCGCUUUUCAUUGAGAAUAGGAACGAACAGCUUUCGUAGACCUAGCUUUCGUACUGAUCUUUUGGAUUCGCCGGCCUGCCUAGCCUAGGUUGUUGUAUACUCAACUUGAGUUGGUUUUGUCCCUUCGCUCGGAAGAGGUGGCGUCAAUGCCGCUCCCAAAGAAUGUUGAGUCCAUUUUGAUCCCAAGAAAUGCGUAUAGCAAAGUGAAAUAGUUGAUGCGAUGUGCCCGUUUUCUUUCGAUAGACCAAUGUCAUCCGCAAUAGUGCCUACCAAUAGUGGAGCCGUGGAAGAACAGAACAGACAUUCAAAGCAACCGAUCAGAAGAUAAGUAUGAAUUGGGACAAAAAGUAUGACUUUUCCCAGGAUCAAACUUUUUUAAAAAGAUACCCCGCGAAAAUAGGCAUUUACAAAGGGAAUGAUAAAAAGUAAGGUUUUCCACAUGGUGAGAUGAACUUUUUCCCGAUUUUUCGACGAAAAACAGCCAUUUAUAUAUAUAUAAACACCAUUCUAUCCAGCAUGGGACAAAAGUACAGACUUGUCAUCUCCCUUAGGAAAUGAGCAAAAUCUGCUCCAUUUUAAAAAACUUUCUAUCCAGCAUGGGGCAACUUGGUACUUUUUUUCGUUGCUAAGGGAAAUUGCCCUUUUUCAUGGUCAAUUUUCCGAUCACUUCAAGCCAGCUAGGGCGAAAAGUAAAGCAAAAUGGAUUGCUAAGGGGAAUUGGCAUUUUUCAGCCUCCUUUUAAAAACAAAGUGGAAGCCAGCUACAGCGAAAACCUUACUUUUUUUUGUUUCUAAGGGUGGGUCAAUAAAGUGAAAACUUCUGUCUCAUAUAGCUGCAAAACCUCAUAUUUUACAGAUCGAAUUGAUCAACGGAAAGGCGGCUAAACCUAUUCUUGAUACUUGUUCUGACCGCAUAACGAAAGUGCAUGAAAUCGAAUCAAUGGCUUCAGAUCGAUAGGAAUACAGAUUGUAAUUAAAGAAAUGAAGCCAUCUUUCCUCGCCCCCGGAAGGCGCCUGCUCUUUAGUUGAGUAUGAAAAGUGCCCCGCGAAGGAACAAAACCAACUCAAGUCAACCGUCCCGUCGAUUCGAUCUGAAGUAUGAAUUGGCCGAAGCAGAUACCAAGGCUUCAUUGAACAGAGGACUAGAUGAGAUGAGGCCGGCCUAUCCACACUGUAAGUAACGGCAAGUGCUAAUGCCUCUGAGCUUGACCUGGAAAAACCCCUUUUGUGAACUUGAAAACCGACAUGGUCAAAGCACGGAAAGGAAAGUAUUGGAAAAGCUAAGCUACAUCAACAUAGGUUCUAUUCUGCUACCUUCACUUCUGACUUCACUCCCACCUAUUGAUAUUGAUCUUACCUUACCUCGAGAAGUUAUUCGUUUAGGUCUCGAUUACCAAUUGAUACUAGUGUUUAUCUAGUCCAACUUGAAUGAAGGAAGAGGUUCACUACUGACUGAACUGAAAUACGCCAGAAAAUCGAUUUGUCCAAAGCUGAAGGAAAAGGAGAUCCAAGUAGAAUCCCAAUGGGCCGCAGAUCAUAUGAGGGGAGGCCUGUGGCUGAUUGUACAAGAAGGAUAUGAGAAAUCAUAAAAAGGGGGGUCAGCGAUUUCAAGCUUGGGCGGUUUUCCGACAUCUUCCUCGGGCUUUGGAAGAACAUAGUAUCUCUCGUUUCGUGCUGAUCUGGCCAAUAUAGAAGGAGAAGGUCAGUUAAGCAAAGCAGGUGUGAGCCUUCUCUUGUAAAAGGCACCGUAGCCUUAUCCGCACUGUGUAGAAGCAUCCUGCCUUUCCUUAAACCUGAUAUAAUGCUUUUUCCUUGUCCAGAACUAGCUUGUUUCACUAGAUGAGGGAAAAGCGGGAUACCAAUUAUGUUGGGCUGACUUCGAGAACUUCACUUUUUCUAUUUUCUAGAAAGGUUUGAACGUGGCACUAAACCCUCGAUGUCAACUAAAGAAAAUAGUUCAAGACAGUAGAGCACUGAGGUUCAGCAUUUCGUUUAGUGAAUGCGGAGAUAAAGGCAGCUACUAUUGAUGCAAUGCAAUUGGACCGCUGGGUAAUGCAAGGGAAGAAUGUUCUCAUAUCCAUGCCCCAUAUUGAUUUUUUUAUAGAAUCAAGCCACUUCUAUCGCUUCUCCUAAUCUAUAUCGGGGUUGGCCACUGCUCAAACAAAGGGACCAAACAGAAGAGUCCCCAACCCCGAGUUGGCUCCUCUUCUCAAUAAUAAAGAGGAGAUACAACACUCUAAAGCCAAGAUGCACUAAUAGCCAAUCAAGACACUGAAGCACUAAGCACUAAUGGCCAAUAGUAUAGUAUCUUUGUUUGGAUGACUUCCCUCCUACCACUGAUAAGCUGAGGUUGAAGAGACAGUUGUGGGUACGAGAUCCUAUGGCGGUAAAGGAGACCUUUCAAAUACAAUAAAUGCUCAAUGUACCAGCACAGGGUCAAAGAAGCCUGCUAGGUGCCAUAGGAUGUGCCGAAAUGCCUACCUCUAUGGUUUGCGUAUAACGUGAAUAGCUCCUGUCUGUUGUUUAAAAAGAACAAAAGCACGAGGUAGGGGAGGUUCAGCCGUCAGAUAUCAGAUCUCCCAUCAAUGGCACGCAGGAACCUUCAUCAAGCUGCCCCACCAAAAUCCUUCCAAAGAUAUUGACACUGCCUGAUGCUCAUGACCAACAAUACUAUGUAGGGAUGACACUUGUUGAAUGGUGAUGCCUGGGCUGAAUAAGCAGCUGCAAGGAUUUCUCCCAGAAAGUUGUUUUAAUAUUGACCCACUGAGAGAGAAGCAUGUUCCUGAGCAUCCAUAACCUCGGAAUUGAUCUUCUCUUUCCCUUUCUUUUCUGCUCCCGUGCUUAGAUCGAACAAUAUUGCGAAAUCAGUGAUACGAAAAAUCCUCUUCCAUUCUUUCGGGCUGCAGGCAACUUAGAGAAGAAAACAGGCUUACAUCUCCAAGCCACACUAGGUAGGGCAAGGAAUAGUCCCUAUCACAAGACCAAGCGGAUCUCAUCCUGCAGAAGACUCAGAGCGGAUCUAUCUAAUGGCAUGGCUGGCUGUCGGAUGUGAUCUAUUCUCGUGUCACAUCGCUUUCUUUCUUCUCCCUCCAUUUUCUUCACUACUACCGCUUCUACACAUAAAUCAAAGAAGCAUUGUGGAAUAGUGGCAUUUCGUUAAUGGCUAAAAUGUUCUUAGUGAAAGGGUUGCCGCAAAACCGGCAAACUCAGAGCGGUCUCUGAAAGUGAAUAGGAGCAUAGCGGCAUCAUCCAAGCCAAACACGUCUCCUCAGUCAAGGGUCUUCUCGCGCAAAGAAGAUCAAAAACAUAACAACUGAUUUCGCUUAAUGCAUGUCACCCGCCCGCUCUCAAUACAGCAAGUGACUCUCUCUCACAAGACAGAGAAAGAUUACCGAUUCAUCCAAUCCAAUUUGAUCAGAAGUGAGUUCAUUGUUGUUGUAUAGCGAAACCUUUCCUUGACAAAACCAUUCUCAGCUAAUAGAAGCCGAGCUAUCUAUCCAGAUCAGGGUUGAACGAAGCGAAUGGAAAAGCCAAAGAAAACAUAAAUCCAUUGCGAUUAGAAACCAGUGACUCUACAGCCAGGGCUCGAUGGCGAUGUAAGAUAGAAAGAAUGGGGAGUUAGGGCUUCGGUUUCCUCUGUAGCCAGUUUCAAUUCCAAAUCAUUUGCCGACAUGCGGACUCACUUCUCUUUUAUGGGAUGACUUUUAUUAUCCAAGUUGUCUAUUUACGUGGGUGAAUCAAGUACAACAAGUCAGGUCAGAGCUUGUGGUAGAAGAUUGGGCUCUGCUACGCAGAUCCACUCAACUAGGAAAGAAGUACGCAUUGCUGACUGACUGUUUGAACGAUCCUAGUUACUAGUAGCUAAUCAAGUCAGAGUAGGGUGGCCGAGAAGCUUCUUGCCGGUGCCCCCAAAAGCAAAGCACAGACUCUACUCACCCACGCGUUUUCCACCUACGGAGGGAGAAAUCAUCGAAAUAUCCUCAUCCCCUGAAAGGGAACCCGAAAACAGGACGAGAGUGGAUAGGGUGACUAAGGAGGCCGUAAAAAUUAGUAGUGCAUUUUUGAAAGAUAAGAUUACAAAAAGGCGAGAGCAGCAUAAUUGUUAGUUAGGGGUAAGAGGGGACGGGCCCGUAUAGAAAGUAAAUCCUUCUUUUUCCGAUAUGCCGCUCCGCAAGCAAGGAGUGCCACGCACGAGCGGAGCGAAAACUAAGCAAGGGGAAUUCCGUCAUUCCAUGGAAAGCAUGCGAAAUCCUUUGAUUGUUUAUAGAAUCAAAAUAACUAUAUAGUCUUUCUUGUUCCACUUGCAAGGCAAGGAAAAUAAAAUGUCAGUUUCGUUAUUACAACCUUAUUUUUUUAUGUCAAAGACAAAAAGCUACGCGCAAAUUCUCAUUGGAUCUCGGUUGUUCUUAACAGCGAUGGCUAUUCAUUUAAGUCUUCGGGUAGCACCACCAGAUCUUCAACAAGGUGGAAAUUCUCGUAUUUCGUAUGUACAUGUUCCUGCGGCUCGGAUGAGUAUAGUUAUUUAUAUCGCGACAGCUAUAAACAGUUCCUUGUUCCCAUUAACAAAACAUCCCCUUUUUCUUCGCUCUUCCGGAACCGGUACAGAAAUUGGUGCUUUUUCUACUUUGUUUACGUUAGUGACUGGGGGGUUUCGGGGAAGGCCUAUGUGGGGUACCUUUCGGGUGUGGGAUGCUCGUUUAACUUCUGUAUUCAUCUUGUUCCUUAUUUACCUGGGUGCACUGCGUUUUCAAAAGCUUCCUGUCGAACCGGCUCCUAUUUCAAUCCGUGCUGGACCGAUCGAUAUACCAAUAAUAAAGUCUCCAGUCAACUGGUGGAAUACAUCGCAUCAACCUGGGAGCAUUAGCCGAUCUGGUACAUCAAUACAUGUUCCUAUGCCCAUUCCAAUCUUGUCUAACUUUGCUAACUUCCCCUUCUCUACCCGUAUCUUGUUCGUUCUGGAAACACGUCUUCCUAUUCCAUCUUUUCCCGAAUCUCCCUUAACGGAAGAAAUAGAAGCUCGAGAAGGAAUACCACUAAAAACCUAGUUCGCUCUCAAAUAAAAACCUAGUUCACUCGCUAAAGCAUCCAUGGGGGGCCCACCAACCUAGAAAGGCAAAAUGGGUCAAAAAGUAGGUUCGAUUCCUGCCGGAUGCACUGCCUCUUAAAGACAGAAACAGAGGAGGGAAAGAAGGUAGUAUAGGGAACUUGCUUUUGGAUUCUUAUCGAAAGUGAAUCCCUCUAACACUUCUGUUAGUGUUUUAUGAGAAAAUCUUUUAUAGACACAACAAGUGUGAAAAUCCUUAGUCACUAGGCAAGAAAGCUCGAUGGGAACAAAAAGGAUACAAUUAGUUCAGAAUCAAAAAAAUGUACAAUUUCAAAGGAAAGAAGGAAUGGCAAGUUUCCCUCCAUUGAACAUCAAUCAAUCUAGAAAUAGGUAAAGGAAGGCGUAUCACAGGGGUAUUUUUCUUUUUUCUAUUCACUUCCGUGGGGUUCUAAAUUGAAAACAUGAACACAAACGAAAUCGUAUUGAAAUUACAUAAAAAAAGAAAAGGGAGGAGUAGCUCUUGGUUUAAAGAAAAGGGAGGAGAUGGAUCGAAUUCAGUCUUUUUCCUUUCUUUGAUGAUCUUCAACACAUCUAUUUGAAUUCCCUGCGAGUGAAGGAUUUCUCGUAUGGAGAAAAACCUCUUGAGCGCUAUCUGAUCUUAUUUUUGUAUUUCAAAUAUGGGACCUGCCUUUUUAAUGGGACAUCCCGGCAACAGGCCUACUCAUGCAUGUGGCCAAGUACUCGACCAAUCCUCGGAGCGAAGGGAUGAACGAAUUCUCGAGGUCUGGUUCAUUGAGGUCAGCAUCACAUGAAACCUUUAGCACUUCCGUUCGAUAUUGGAUGGAGUAUGGCUGGAAGGUCAGCCUAGCUAGUCUUGUCAAUCGGCCCUGACUCGUCUUCUCCUUGGUACCUACCGCUAUUGAACUUCGGUACCUAUAUUCCUGAAACAAGACAGACCUUCAUGAAGACCUUAUAUUUUGGAAUAAGAUCGGACAUUUCCACAUUGAGGUGAAAUUACAUAUGAGGAAAAUAAUCCUGGACUACGAAAGCUGCCCUUGUGUGGUAGAACCAGGUCUUCCACCGGGCGGUCAGCCAAGUACUGAAGCCCCUAUCUUGAUAUAGAAUAGAAGUGAGUUCACACUAAAAAUAGAAGAAGCCCUAUGAUUUUUUAGCCCUGCUAUCAAUCACUUCGGUAAAGGGAUCGAAAGAUUAUGGUCUGAAAUAGAGAUUUGAGAGUCCCUCGUGUGAGUACGUGCUGAAGAGCAAGGAGUGAAAGUGCGUUCAUCUUUCUUUCUGCUAGUUGUUUCCUGCUAAUAGUGAUUAGUGAGUGCCCCAUACAUAGCCAAUGUCCGCCCGUGUUCACAUCCAGUCUUCUCUGUACACUAGUGCAGCUUCCAGCUCUAUGCUAUGUAUGGUAGUCGUUUGACUCGGGAAUCCCUGAUAAAAGCUUUUAGUCCGUGCCUGGCAGUUUCAGCCGUGGUCCAGUCCAGCAGCCUCUUUUCGAUCCAAGAGUCGCAUGAGAAGAAAGCUUCCGGUUAGCUUCAGUUAGUGUUAGUUAAAUAGAACGGGAACCUCGUAACUAUGCCAAGCCCGAUCUUGGUUCCAAUGCUGCAGAGAAAGGUUAUGGGUAAAAAGAAGGUCUUUAUCCUGGUGCUGCGGAGACCGGUGUUGCUGAUCGAACUCAUUUUCUUUCGAGGAGAUCGAAAAUCUCUGAAUUUCUGCGAAACGAAUUUACAUAUUUAUUGCGAGGGGCUUUGAAAAGCGAAAGGAUGAAGACUGAUUUAGAUCCUCUGAAAGCGCAGGAAGUAUGCCUUUUGAGCUUUUUCUCCACCCACCUCUGAGCAUCCUGUUGGAAUGGUCCUAGGAAAGACUACGUACGAGAAAUCAUUCUCACAGCCAACUUUCCUUCUUCUGAGCAAAUAAAUGUAGUAUUUAGUCCAACCAAUCAUUGGUGAAUCUAUGUCUUUCGUGAAAAGUGGAGUAUUUGUGCCCAAGAUCUUUCUAUUCCCUUUAGUAGGUGCACACAUCUCGUAUGGUAAAUAUACCUUUGUGCCCUAUAAGGUAAGAUUGAUUGACGGAGUCAAGAGAUGGAGAUCUUGGUUUAGCAGCGGCUGCCUGUCCUUUUCUUUCGUGAAAGGUAUGAUCUAGAGUGUGAUUCUGAUCCCGUGAUUGGGUGCUUGGCGUAGAAUGAGUGGAGCAUACUAGGAAUGCCGAAUGCUCGCUCAGUGAGGGAGCUCUGUUGGAGAAGAGUGGGACUAGAAAGAGGGAAUACCCAUGUCAGGCCAUGUAAGGCCAAUAGUUGAGGUACCUGGAUCCAGACAAAACUCCAAACAUGUAAGAAUCUACCUUGAAGCAAGGUUUCUACUGGUUAAUGCGUUCCACCCUAUUGAUGACAGCUAAUGUUACUAAAAGCUUAGAUGAAGAAAGAGCUUCUGAGCGAAGGCUUGUUGGCUUUGGUUGUUGGCGUGGAUUAUCUUGUUAAGCUCUGCAGAGAUGGUGAGCGUGAAGAAAGGACACUACCAUCAAAGAAAGACAGCUCUCAAAUGGAUUUGCUGGUCUAUGAUGACCAAGUAGAAGCAUCCGUUCCACAUAGGUGAUUUUUAUAGAAGCAUAGGCGCAAGCUCUUCUCAAAAGAAUUUCGUUUAUAGGAUUCAGUCGUCCGUUUGUUUUGUUUUGAAUUGACAUAGAGAAAUCUUUCUCGCGUUCCCUUAAUUCAGGAAUAGGUGGCGAAGGCUACUUGUUCCUUGUAUAUAUAUAUAAAGGAAAGGGGUUAUUUUUCCUUUACGGCAAUAAGAGUUGAUUCCCUUGCUUGUAGUUUUGGAUCGAUUCCGUGUAUUUCACAUAUUUAAGAGUGGUUAGGAGAGAGAAUCAAUGUUUAGUAGUAGGCCCGGUUCACCAGGUUCUACCACUGUUCGGCCCAAUCAUAGUCAAAAUCUGAGUUUGAUCCUGGCUCAGAAGGAACGCUAGCUAUAUGCUUAACACAUGCNNNNNNNNNNNNNNNNNNNNGCUUAACACAUGCAAGUCGAACGUUGUUUUCGGGGAGCUGGGCAGAAGGAAAAGAGGCUCCUAGCUAAAGUUGUCUCGCCCUGCUUCAAAACUACAGGGCGCGCGCUACGGCUUUGACCUAACGGCCUCCGUUUGCUGGAAUCGGAAUAGUUGAGAACAAAGUGGCGAACGGGUGCGUAACGCGUGGGAAUCUGCCGAACAGUUCGGGCCAAAUCCUGAAGAAAGCUCAAAAGCGCUGUUUGAUGAGCCUGCGUAGUAUUAGGUAGUUGGUCAGGUAAAGGCUGACCAAGCCAAUGAUGCUUAGCUGGUCUUUUCGGAUGAUCAGCCACACUGGGACNCGGUGAAUCGGGUUGAAAGUGAAAGUCGCCAAAAAGUGGCGGAAUGCUCUCGAAACCAAUUCACUUGAGUGAGACAGAGGAGAGUGGAAUUUCGUGUGUAGGGGUGAAAUCCGUAGAUCUACGAAGGAACGCCAAAAGCGAAGGCAGCUCUCUGGGUCCCUACCGACGCUGGGGUGCGAAAGCAUGGGGAGCGAACAGGAUUAGAUACCCUGNNNNNNNNNNNNNNNNNNNNNNNNNNNNNNNNNNNNNNNNNNNNNNNNNNNNNNNNNNNNNNNNNNNNNNNNNNNNNNNNNNNNNNNNNNNNNNNNNNNNNNNNNNNNNNNNNNNNNNNNNNNNNNNNNNNNNNNNNNNNNNNNNNNNNNNNNNNNNNNNNNNNNNNNNNNNNNNNNNNNNNNNNNNNNNNNNNNNNNNNNNNNNNNNNNUCGUGUCGUGAGAUGUUUGGUCAAGUCCUAUAACGAGCGAAACCCUCGUUUUGUGUUGCUGAGACAUGCGCCUAAGGAGAAAUUGCCACCGAAGUGAGCCGAGGAGCCGAGUGACGUGCCAGCGCUACUACUUGAUUGAGUGCCAGCACGUAGCUGUGCUUUCAGCAAGAAUUUCACCAUUGGGAGCCGGUGCCUUUCGAAGCACUUUCACGUGUGAACCGAAGUCGUCUUGCCCAAGACCCACGGAGACCUACCUAUAGUGACGUCAAAGUACCAGUGAGCAUGGAGGUUUGGUUGAAAUUGGUUACGACGACGUCGAGUUGGCGGCGGAGGAAGACUCGGCAUGAAGGCCAGCCGCCCGGUGGUGUGGUACGUAGUGGUAAUAGUACGCGCCCCGCUCCGAAACAAAGAAAAAGGUGCGUGCCGCACUCACGAGGGACUGCCAGUGAGAUACUGGAGGAAGGUGGGGAUGNNNNNNNN
rnacentral:lncRNA from 1 species